GCCCUGGUGGCGGAAUUGGUAGACGCGCACGGUUCAGGUCCGUGUGUCGAAAGACGUGGAAGUUCGAGUCUUCUCCAGGGCACCA
rnacentral:tRNA from 7 species